CAGGCCACAACAAUGGCCACCGCCAAUGUCCCAGUCCCUGGAGAGGUCUCACCUCUCACCGAGAAGCACUCAGAGCCUAUCAGGGGAUGCCUGGGUCAUGGAAAUAAAUCCUACCAAUAACCAGUGAGAUUGCAAGAGGACCUCAAACCUCAGAUGGAAGGGACUUUGUGGCAAGUUAUGUGGGCAGUCUCUAGGAGCAGAGAACAGCUCUCAGAUGACAGCCAGCAAAGAAACAGGGACUGCAGUCCUACAACCACAAGCAACUGAAUUCAGCCAACAACCUCAAUUAACAUGGAAACAGAUUUUCUCCCAGAGCCCCCAAAUGAAAAUACAACUGGUCAACACUUUGACUUCAGCAUUGCAAGACCCUGAGUGAAGAACUCAGCCAUUUCAUGUCUGAACCUCUGACCCACAAAACUGUGGGCUAACAAACGGGUGUGGUUUUAAGCUGCUAAAUUUAUGGUAACUUGUUUUGCAGCGAUAGAAAACUAAUAUAUACAUACUUUGCACAAAAGUGACUCUGGCCUGUGGCGAUAGGUGCUAUCUGAACAACAGCCACUCUUACGCACACUUUGACUUUCCUGAAUCACGCACAUGAAUGAGAUUGGUGUUAUGAACCAGCAGAUUUUAUAUAUCAAGUUGGAUUCAUAGAAUCACCAAGAUCUGUUGUGACUAAGUUAAAAAAAUUCAUUAAGAAAUCAUUGGUAGGAAGAGCAGAAUCCUAAAUAGUUCAAAAUUCUCCUAUCAGAAUCAGAACUCAGAGAACCUGAGUUCAAAAUUUUAAAUGGCCCUGGAGACUAGGUCAUCAUAAUAAAGCAUUAUA